CAGUCGCCGCGGUAACACGAAGGGGGCUAGCGUUGUUCGGAAUUACUGGGCGUAAAGGGCGCGUAGGCGGCCAUUCAAGUUAGAUGUGAAAGCCCUGGGCUCAGCCUAGGAAUUGCAUUUGAUACUGUUUGGCUUGAGUUCGGGUGAGGUGAGUGGAAUUCCCAGUGUAGAGGUGAAAUUCGUAGAUAUUGGGAAGAACACCAGUGGCGAAGGCGGCUCACUGGACCGACACUGACGCUGAGGCGCGAAAGCGUGGGGAGCAAACAGGAUUAGAGACCCCUGUAGUCCCUGUCUCUUAUAC
rnacentral:rRNA from 1 species